rnacentral:sRNA from 2 species
AUGCGUUAGGGAUUGCAGCGGCAUCUUUUUCUAUUUUUGAACGAAGUCCGGGUCAAGUUUAAAUGUUUGAUCAAAUAGAAAAAAUAUAGCGUAAAGCCCGCCCGAAC